rnacentral:tRNA from 2 species
UUUUUAGUAGUAUAAACAUUACACUUACCUUCCAAGUAAAAAAUCUUUUUAAAAGC